rnacentral:lncRNA from 1 species
CCUCCACCGGAACUCCACCUCGCUCUGGGCUCCGCCUGGCUCCCGAAGCUCUACCUCACACUGGGCUCCCCGCCAGGUAAUUAUAUCCUCUGCUCCCCUUCUUCCCCUCCAGCACAAUCCUAUCGCCGCGUAGCACCCUCAGGAUUCCUCCACCAGCUACCAUCCUAUAGCCUCUCGAAUCCAGUCUGCUAAGUGAGAUAAGAUUCUGUCUGAAAUUAGAUAUGUAUCGGAUCUCCCCCAAUCUUCUUACUACACCAUCAUGUGUCGUCCAGCUGACCGUCCCAAUGCCUCCGAUCGCACGCUCGAUCUAUCCGACAGAUAUACAGUGCCUUCA